rnacentral:tRNA from 1 species
GCAGGGGUGCCGGAGCGGUCAAACGGGCUAGGCUAAGGACCUAGUGGCUCAGUGCCUACCAAGGUUCAAAUCCUUGCCCCUGCA